CCUUUUCCCCAAACCCGCAGGCCACCCUCUCGCUGCACCCUUGCUGCGGGUCUGCCUGGCCUUGCUCUCCAUCUGAUGGACAGCUGAUACCCAGGGGACACCGGUUGGUAGCCUUGGACUUCUCAGCUUAAUCGCCCUGGCUUUAAUGCCACUUAAAUCAGAAUGUAAGCACUGAAGGAAUUUCAGGAAUCCGAUGAUAUAAAUUGUAUUUUUAGAGCCGUGAAUGACUUGAGCGAGUGAAACAGUGCAGUGACUGAAGAGAAUUCUCUCCCGUUUCCCAUGAUUUAUCACAGGCGAGGUCACGGCAGGUUAAAAUACUUGAACGCCGCGAUAGCAUACGUCCUGGCAUGGUUUUAUGAGUAGUCAUUCAUAACAUAUUUGUCGCAAAGCAUAAUUUCCAAGAUAGAACCCUGAUCCACAUGCAGUUUUUUUUUUCACAGCAACAACACAGGCGCAGUAACUCCUUCGUGGAGACUGCUUCCAUUUUCACAAUGUCCAGCUCCACGCUAGAGCUUCGGGGAAAGGGACCGAGGAAGUGACUGGUUCGCCAACUGAAACUCCCUGGGACAGACAAGACUGGGAGCCUUGGUGAAAGGGAGGAGACCCUGUGUCCCCGGUUUUGCCAAGUCAGCCUGGCCCAUCCUCUGACGGCUAAAUCAACACUCUUUAUCCUGUGGCGACUGAUAACGCAUCCACCGCUUCCUGCCAAGGAGGAAAUCCUGAUGGGACAUUAUCAGGGGCGAGACAUCAUCCGUCAGCCGCCGUCACAGGAACCCAGGGCUCAUCCAGACCCCACGCCAAUCUUUCCGCCUUUAUCUGCGCUCCCCAAAUGCCUCAGCCUGUUUGCUGAUAGAGGAAUCCGGCAUCUCCUUUUCUCAAGGACCCGAAAAAGAUUCUUCGAUAGCAAGAAACUAAGAGCUCCCCAUCGGCUGGACGUAACCAAAAGUCAGAGGGCAAACAGAGGCACCUAUGGACGCUGGCUGGAUUGGUCAGCCUGCUGGUCACCGCCCCCACCGCUCCCACCCUCACCCCUGCCUGAAGGAUGGGACAGAGGAAAAUGGAAGAUGAAAAAAAGAAGUUAUCGGAAGAUAUCCAGAAUGGCUGUGAUAAGGCGUAGGGUUUAAUUCUGAGGGCAUGGGGAAGGCCCCCCGGGGAGUUUUGAGCAAAGGAGUACUUUAAACGGAUUUAUGUUAAAAAAAGAUCAAUCUGGGAGUUCCCUGGUGGCUCAGCAGGUUAAGAAUCUGGCGUUGUCACUGUAGCAGCUUGGGUUACUACUGUGUAGCCAUAAAGUUCCAUCCCUGGCUCCAGAACUUUUGCAAGUGCUGGACCAGCCAAAAAAAAAAAAAAAGAAAGAAAGAAAGAAAGAAAGAAAAAAAAAGAAAAGAAAAGAAAAGAGAAGAAAUGAAAUGAAAUGAAACAUCAGGCUUCCAUGUAGAGAAUGGACUUUUGGGGGACAAGACUGGAAGCUGGGAGAGUAUUUAUGAGAUUGUUUCAUCUAAAUUAAAAGUUCAAGGAGUUCCCGUCGUGGCACAGUGGUUAACGAAUCCGACUAGGAACCAUGAGGUUGCGGGUUCAACCUCUGGCCUUGCUCAGUGGGUUAAGGAUCCGGCGUUGCCGUGAGCUGUGGUGUAGGUUGCAGACGCGGCUCGGAUCCUGCGUUGUUGUGGCUCUGGCGUAGGCCGGUGGCUACAGCUCCCAUUGGACCCCUAGCCUGGGAAUCUCCAUAUGCAGUGGGAGCGGCCCAAGAAAUAGCAAAAAGACAGAAAAAAAAAAUUAAAAGUUCAUGUUGAGGUGGUCUUGCAUGGUGGCUGAAGAUAAAGACAAAUAAAUAUAUUUAGGAAACAUACUGGCA
rnacentral:lncRNA from 1 species